UCUUGAAGAUGCAAUGUCAGCUAUUUAGGACAGAAACAUCCAAGGCCGUGCUAGGACUCAAUGACAACAACAUGUGCAUUAAGACAGGAACUGGCAAGCCCCGGGACUACAGCAACUAUAGAGCUGGUGCUUCCCAACCGCCGGGCUAUAAUCUAUGAAACUGAUCCCGGAUCCAGCCAAUCAGUUAGCUCCUCAUAACAAGUCUAACUGGCUCUGGACAGCUGAAGGGCUGUGCUGGAGCGCAGCAGAGGAGAUAUUCCACACAGCACUCUGCUUAUCUAUACAGUCACUUUGCCUGGAAAGGCCAGAGGGGGGAAAAAAAAAACCACAGCUUCUUUGUCUCAGGGAAGGAGGACAGGUGAUCUGCACAGUCUGAAGCCGGAGCAAGAUCUCCUGGUGUGGCAAUCCAAGCAAGUACCGGCGUUAAAGGACCAGAGCCACCCCCAGACACCAAAGGGCGAGCCCGCAGACAAACCCUGAGUUGCGAUCACUGAGCCUGGAAGAGCUUACGUGAUUUGCCCAGUCACUACAGCCGCUGUUGUUUCCAGGGUUGGAAUACUUCUCCACUCUCGCACAGGAAAGAGGUCCCUCUACUACGUGCAAAGGGGUGGUGUAAAAAGCACAAUUAUGGCAGACCACGGGUCAAUUUAUGGAUCUUGAAAGAAGUUGAUCAUGCUUUCAACAGCCAAAGACUGCUAAAUUAAAACCCUGCUUCUAAAAUAUUAUUUUCAAUAGGAACAUAAUUUAAUUAGGAAGAAGCUCUCUUCUCCAUUGGGGACAGAAAAAUACUUCUAAGGAUUUCAUGUGUUUUACCUCACAUUAUCACUUAAACCUUUUGUGACCUGCUUUCAAAUUUUUCCUAAUACUGACAUUUCUGAGUAGGUGGAUCAUCCACCCUUCAACUGAGAACUUCUCUUGGGUCAUCUUUUACUGCCUCCUUUGGUCAUCAUCAUCAUCGGCAGAGUUGGAUGUAACGUGGAGAAGGAUGUAACAUGGAGAAGGAUGCAACAAUGGCUGUGCAGGUGACAGUGGCAAUGACAGCCAUGGUACCAGUAGUAUCAACCAUAGCAACCACAGGUAUGGAGGCAACAGUAGCAGAGAGGCAGAAACAGAGGUGGUAGUCGGGGAGGCAGCCUCCAACAGCACCACCAGGAGGGUGGCAGUAGUGACAGGGGCAAUGGUGAACAGAGGCAGCUGGAGAGUUCCAGGGAAUGCCCAGGGCAGAAAUAACAAGAAACAGGAGAAACAACCUAGGCCCAGAAGCUGGGAUCAUAUCUGCUGUCGAAGUCUAGGAAUCCCAACUUCCUAGACCUGUGUAAGAGCUGCAGUGCUUGUCACAAGAGAGCCAAGAAUUUAGCGUCCUGAGGCCUGGACCAGAACAGUAACACUAGAGAAGCAGUGGGCUAUCAGUCCCUGUCCAUCUGCUGCCAGGAAUUAGUGGUGAAGAGACUGGUAGGUACCAGCACCAGAAAACUGACUCUUCCUCUACCCAUAAUUCCCCCACUUGAAUCGACCAAAAGAUCCACAGUUCAUCAGUAACACGUCCAGAUGGUAGAGGAGGUCACAGUUCAAGCAUCCUAUCAAAUCAGCAGUCCAUUACCUCAAAGCAUUAAUUUCAACAUUUUAAGACUUUUGAUGGCCUCUGACAUGGAACAAGCAGAAUAUUUUCAUAUGCAUUCGUCCAGUUCCACAGCAAAUAUGAAUUCUGUAACAUGGGGCAUUCUCUUUAGAACUUUAAAAAUAUUGUAUUCAAUAUUCAUACAUGUAUGUAAUGGAUUUUGAUCAAAUCCACCACUUACAAUCGCUCCCCUUACCUUCCCUACCACUUUCUCCUCUCACUUCAUGUCCUCUUUACAUGUACUCACUGAGUGCUGCCUGUAUGUACAUGAGUUUGAACCAUCUGCUGGAGCAUUGGUAGCCUAUCAGGAUUUGAUCCCUGAAGAAAACUGACUCUCCCUCCCCCAGCAGCCAUCAAGUACCAAUAGCUCCUCAGAUCGGGGUGGGACUUUACCUUCCCCAUCUGUGCUGGGAUUUGGGUUGGCUGAAUCUUGUAUCAAUCUUGAGCACGCAGUCCCAGCUACUAUGAGUUCAAGUUAUGCAACUGGAACUUGCUUAUAAGUUACUGCAUGCAUUGACAAACAUUUUAGACCUAAAACCUCAGGUUAGGGCCUUAGACAAGCACAAUGUAAUGGUGCUUUCCACAGCAAGUGUCUUGUGAUGUUCUGAAAUACUGCGGUUGAGUUUCGUGCUUCCAUACCUUCUGUUCACAUAGAUACAGCAUGUGGAACAAAGAUAUUCAUAUUAGUAUCAGCAACCGUAGUGAAUGAAAAUGGAAGGGUAUGAAAGAACUCAGGACAUUCUCUCCCCAACUCACAUGGUAGAAAACAAAUCAAAACAUUACCUAUAGAUGGCUACAAGUACUCCUACACUGUAAAUAUUUGAUUCUCUGCCUGGUGUACUAUUUUGUCAAUAAAUAUUCCCUGUUUUAUGUUC